GACGAACGCUGGCGGCGUGCCUAACACAUGCAAGUCGAGCGGAGUCAGUAAGAGGAAGUUUUCGGAUGGAAUCUUAUUGAUUUAGCGGCGGACGGGUGAGUAACGCGUGAGCGACCAACCUUGCACAGGGGGAUAACGGACCGAAAGGUUCACUAAUACCGCAUGAGACCACGGUGUUGCAUGACACAGGGGUCAAAGGAGCAAUCCGGUGCAAGACGGGCUCGCGUCCGAUUAGGUAGUUGGAGGGGUAACGGCCCACCAAGCCUAUGAUCGGUAGCCGACCUGAGAGGGUGAUCGGCCACAUUGAAACUGAGAUACGGUCCAAACUCCUACGGGAGGCAGCAGUGGGGAAUAUUGGGCAAUGGGGGAAACCCUGACCCAGCAACGCCGCGUGAAGGAAGAAGGUUUUCGGAUUGUAAACUUCUGUCCUUGGUGAAGAGAAGAAGACGGUAGCCAGGGAGGAAGCCCCGGCUAACUACGCGCCAGCAGCCGCCGUAA
rnacentral:rRNA from 1 species